CAGUCGCCCGCGGGAAAACGUAGGUGGCAAGCGUUGUCCGGAAUUAUUGGGCGUAAAGGGCUCGCAGGCGGUUUCUUAAGUCUGAUGUGAAAGCCCCCGGCUCAACCGGGGAGGGUCAUUGGAAACUGGGAAACUUGAGUGCAGAAGAGGAGAGUGGAAUUCCACGUGUAGCGGUGAAAUGCGUAGAGAUGUGGAGGAACACCAGUGGCGAAGGCGACUCUCUGGUCUGUAACUGACGCUGAGGAGCGAAAGCGUGGGGAGCGAACAGGAUUAGAUACCCCUGUAGUCCCUGUCUCUUAUA
rnacentral:rRNA from 1 species